UAGCAAACAGGAAGUGCAGUAGUUUACCUACCGAUUCCGGGGGUGCGUCAUGGAGGCUUAUGAGCAGGUCCAGAAGGCGCCCCUGAAACUGAAAGGCGUCGCAGAGCUUGGCGUGACCAAGCGGAAGAAGAAAAAGGACAAAGAUAAGGCGAAACUUCUGGAAGCGAUGGGAACGAGCAAAAAGAACGAGGAGGAGAAGCGGCGGGGCCUGGACAAGCGGACUCCGGCCCAGGCGGCCUUCGAGAAGAUGCAGGAGAAGCGGCAAAUGGAAAGGAUCCUGAAGAAAGCGUCUAAAACGCACAAGCAGAGAGUGGAGCGUAAGUCCAGUGCAAGUGCUGGUGGUGCAUCAAAGAAAAGGAGAACGAUCACGAUUGAAAAUAAAGUGGAAAUAAUAAAGCGAUCGGAAAGAGGUGAAACGCCAUCAGUCAUUGGAAAAGCGUUAGGCUACAGUCGGUCAACGAUUGGAACAAUUUUAAAGGAUAAAGUGAGAAUAAUGGAGCAUGUGAAAGGCUGUGCCCUGAUGAAAGCUACAGUUAUUACUAAGCAACGCAGUGGUUUACUUAUUGAAAUGGAAAGGCUAUUGAUAAUGUGGUUAGACGAUCAGAAUCAGCGUAAUAUGCCCAUUAGCCUUACUUUAGUGCAACGAAAGGCUCGAAGCCUUUUCAAUGAUUUAAAAGCUGCACGUGCAGCAAGAGAAGGUGAUUGUGAUGAAGAAUUUGUUGCGAGUAGGGGUUGGUUCAAUCGUUUCAAAGUGAGGGCAAAUUUACAUAAUAUUAAAGUGCGCGGUGAAGCAGCAAAUGCCAAUGUAAGUGCUGCGAGUGAUUUUCCUGAGAUGUUGAAAAAUGAUGGAGAGUUACUAAACUCUCACGCAGAAGAACUAACCAACGAAGGCCUUAAGGAACUAGAGCAGCAGAUGAUAGCAUUUGAGGAAGAAGACCAGGACCAAAAAACUCCAGUACCGAAAAAGUUUUUGACAAAAGAGUUAGCUGAAGCCUUUCGUCUCAUUGAAGCAGGGAUGGCAAAGUUAGAGGAGCAAGAUCCCAAUACGGAGAGGUUCACCAAAGUUUACCGUGUGGUUACCGAAGGUCUCAGCUGCUACAAGGCCAUUUAUGAUGAGAAAAAGAAAAGCUCUGUACAAACCUCCCGUAUGCCUACUUCAGGAAAUUGACCACAGCAGUAAACUCCCCCUCUCCAGCAGCAGAAUCAAACCCUGACUCUCCUGCACCAGGUCCAUCUUCUCCACCAGGCCCAUCAUCGUCAACAGUAGCCAUCUCUCCAUCAUCCUCUCCUGCAUCAUCCAGUAUUAAUGUUAUAAUGUUACCUCAUGAAUGCCCCUUCUGGUAUGCAAGACAUCGAUGGAACGAGAGACUUCAACAGACACCUGGACACGCUCACGGAGCAUUAUGACAUCCCCAAAGUCAGCUGGACCAAGUAGCCUCCUGGCCCCUGGGCAUGGUGUGGCCUCGAGGGGAAGCGGAAGACAAAGUUGGGGUUAUGUCUAGUCCCUUCGGCAUUUUCUAGAAACAUUCUUUUACUCAUACCUUUGCAUUUUCUGCUGCAACAGUGCAUUCUGAAACUUUUUGUUCUAGAACUUGAUUAAAGAAAGACUGUCCUUUCACUCAGUUUUGGUUUCUUGGUAGCUCAUAGAAGAUAAACGUUUUUAGUGUGGACUGGAAAGCUUUGGAAGUCUAUCCAGAGGUUAAAGUUGUUGCUGUGUAAGUGCCAUGUAAGAAUGUUUAGUUCUCUGAGUUGCAUUUAAGUCUCUGAGGACAACCGGCCAGCUCUCUUUGCCCAGAAAAAACUCACUCCAGAGGAUAAGGAGCUUAUGCUGGUGUAGCAUGCAGUGGGCAGACCCCCAUAUAUGUAGGCUCCCCUUAUAAAUUCCCAUUAGCUUGGGGCUUAAGCUCUUCCAUCCAGGACCCAGAGAAGCUACCCAUGGCCUCAUGGCCUUCUGACCACCUCCACAGCCCUCCUGCCUGGGAUGCAGAGUACGGCUACCUGUGGUAAGGAUGGAGCAUCCCGCCUGGUCCCUUUCUGAGCCCAUGACUGGCUUGCAGCCCCUCCCCCAGUUUUGCCAUUCCAGACAUUUCUAAUAGGUGUCAUCAUGGCCCAUGUGGCAGACAUCGCUAAUCUAUCACAGCUUUCUUUGUAAUGGAACCCAGACACCACCUGACUUCUCCCUCAACCAGGGCUCCAAGUUGGCACAUGACCUGGAGCCUGUUGGGGUGACAGGCCCACGGCGGAACCCUACCACAGACAGACAUGUACACAGUUAAAUGGGAGGACCCCGUUACUGGUGCUGGAGAGCCAGGGUUUUUGGGGGGCCUGUGUUUGUUGGAUGAGGCUCAAUCUGUGUACUCUACUAGGGGUUAGAGUCUCUGCCGACCCAGCUUUCUAAAGAGUAACAAAGCAAGAAGACAAAAACCAAGUGUUGGGCUUGAGGCUGUUACAUGUGAACUGCAGAAUAAAGCAACAACCAAUUAUUAAA